rnacentral:rRNA from 1 species
CAGUAGCCACGGGAAAACGGAGGGGGCUAGCGUUGUUCGGAAUUACUGGGCGUAAAGCGCACGUAGGCGGCUUGGUAAGUUAGAGGUGAAAGCCUGGAGCUCAACUCCAGAAUUGCCUUUAAGACUGCCGAGCUAGCAGGUGAGAGAGGUAAGUGGAAUUCCGAGUGUAGAGGUGAAAUUCGUAGAUAUUCGGAAGAACACCAGUGGCGAAGGCGGCUUACUGGCUCAUACUGGACGCUGAGGUGCGAAAGCGUGGGGAGCAAACAGGAUUAGAUACCCCUGUAGUCCCUGUCUCUUAUAA